rnacentral:hammerhead_ribozyme from 1 species
AUCCAGCUGACGAGUCUUAAACAGGACGAAACGAGGAUCCUGGAU